GAUCAUAGCACGUUGAAACACAAAUUCCCGUAAGAUCACCAAAGUUAAGCAAACUAUAGUCUGGUUAGUAACUUGAUAGGUGAUCGCUUCGGAAUACCAGGCGCUGUAAG